AAAGUUUUAGUAUAAGAUAAGUAUAUUUCAUUGUCAAUGAUUGGGUUAAAACUUUA
rnacentral:tRNA from 1 species